ensembl:lncRNA
CCAUCAACCUCAUCCUCAGCUCUCUGCCUGUUGUCCUUUUCAGCUGAGUAUUCAUCCACAUGUGUUUCAACUUCUCUCUCAUUUUCAAGCAAAUUGCUCAGGCUCUCAGCUUCAGCACAGUUACCAUAUGGCCACUCUCUGAGGUCUUCUGUGUUCAAGCCAAACAAAUUCUUACAUGAUCUGCAAGGCUUCAUUCUGGCACCAUCACGGAGACAAAAAGCCUCACACCUGAUAUUUCCAGAACUAACAAAUUCUGAAGCAAGUCUCCAGCUCUCCUGCAGUCUCUGUGUUUGGUGGAGAAGUAUAGCUAGAAGCAUAUGUUGAAGUAUAAGGUCAGGUUUUGUUCCCUCCCUUUGAAUUAAUCUUCUUCAUAUUGAAGUGGCGAGCCGGUAGGACCAUUCUUUGUUUCCCCUCUUUCCCCCACUUAGCCGUCUUUGGAUUACGGACAUAUUUCCCCAUUUGUAUGAAGCUGGACUCUAAGGAGGAAUACCUUAAAAGUGAACUUUAAAAAGAAGAGGACCAAAAAGGACUUUUGCACAGAAAGAUCACAGCAUUGAUUUAUUAUUUAAUUGUGGGCAUUUAUGUUGUGUGUUGUGUUAAUUAUUUUGUUCCAUUUCCCCUUUCCUCCAUUUAUUCAAUAUAUUUUUGGUACAAGAUAUUGCAGUCUUUGGUCUCAUCAUUCACACCAUCUAGGCUCCAUAAAGAACUAUUUCUUCUGCGCGUCAGUCAGUAAACUCAUCCAUUGAAAUAAACUAGUCCUUAAAUAACUUUGAGUUACACAGUGGCAAAUGUAAUAGAGAAAGACACAGGGCCACCUGAAAUCUGUCGUCCUAUCUGAUUCAAAAC